GACAGAGGGGGCAAGCGUUGCUCGGAAUCACUGGGCGUAAAGGGCGCGUAGGCGGGAUGGCAAGUCAGUCGUGAAAUCUCUCGGCUCAACCGAGAAACGUCGGCUGAUACUGCCGUUCUUGAGGGAUGCAGAGGAGACUGGAAUUCCCGGUGUAGCGGUGAAAUGCGCAGAUAUCGGGAGGAACACCGGUGGCGAAGGCGGUUCUCUGGGCCUGUACUGACGCUGAGGAGCGAAAGCGUGGGGAGCGAACAGG
rnacentral:rRNA from 1 species